GAAAUGCGAUAAGUAGUGUGAAUUGCAGAAUUCAGUGAAUCAUCGAAUCUUUGAACGCACAUUGCGCCCUUUGGUAUUCCUUACGGCAUGCCUGUUCGAGCGUCAUCUAAACCUUCAAGCCCUGCUUGGUGUUGGGUGCCUGUCCCGCCUCCGCGCGCGGACUCACCUCAAAUCCAUUGGCGGCCCCCGCGUCGGCCACGAGCGCAGCAGAAACGCGAACUCGUGAGCCCGUCCGGGCGGCUCCCAGAAGCUACACCCACCCAGUUUGACCUCGGAUCAGGUAGGGAUACCCGCUGAACUUAAGC
rnacentral:misc_RNA from 1 species